ACUGCUCAGUAACACGUGGACAACCUACCCUAUGGAGGGGGAUAACCCCGGGAAACUGGGGAUAAUACCCCAUAGACUAUGAAUGCUGGAAUGCUUUGUAGUUGAAAGGUCCGCCGCCAUAGGAUGGGUCUGCGGCCGAUUAGGUUGUUGUUGGGGUAACGGCCCAACAAGCCUGUAAUCGGUACGGGUUGUGGGAGCAAGAGCCCGGAGAUGGAUUCUGAGACACGAAUCCAGGCCCUACGGGGCGCAGCAGGCGCGAAAACUUUACAAUGCGGGAAACCGUGAUAAGGGAACUCCGAGUGCCCGUAAAAUCGGGCUGUCCAUCUGUUUAAAUAACAGGUGAAGAAAGGGCCGGGCAAGACCGGUGCCAGCCGCCGCGGUAAUACCGGCGGCUCGAGUGGUGGCCACUAUUACUGGGCUUAAAGCGUUCGUAGCUGGUCUGUUAAGUCUCUGGGGAAAUCUACUGGCUUAACCAAUAGGCGUUUCAGGGAUACUGGCAGACUAGGGACCGGGAGAGGUGAGAGGUACUCCAGGGGUAGGAGUGAAAUCCUGUAAUCCUUGGGGGACCACCUGUGGCGAAGGCGUCUCACCAGAACGGCUCCGACAGUGAGGGACGAAAGCUGGGGGAGCAAACCGGAUUAGAUACCCGGGUAGUCCCAGCUGUAAACGAUGCGCGUUAGGUGUAUCGGUGACCACGAGUCAUCGAGGUGCCGAAGAGAAAUCGUGAAACGUGCCGCCUGGGAAGUACGGUCGCAAGGCUGAAACUUAAAGGAAUUGGCGGGGGAGCAC
rnacentral:rRNA from 1 species